GCACCCUGUGAUUAUAAAAAGACGCGUUAUUCUGAGGGAUCCCACUGGAUGGCAGUUUUCUUUCUUUGUCUGUUUGUUUGUUUCUAUUCUUUUUUCCUCCUCCUCAAUGCUCUUCUGCUAUCCCUCACUCUUUAACUGUCCGCCAGUCCACUGAUUGUGAUUAUGAGAUAUGAGGGUGU